AGCAGCCGCGGUAAUUCCAGCUCCAAUAGCGUAUAUUAAAGUUGUUGCAGUUAAAAAGCUCGUAGUUGAAUUUCGGGAUUCUACCGUUGGUCGGGCUAACAAGUCUGUACUGGUGUGUAGAAUUUCUACCUCCUGGGAACUAUCAUGUUAUUAAUUUAGCGUGGUGGGAAACCAGGACCUUUACCUUGAAAAAAUUAGAGUGUUCAAAGCAGGCUUAUGUCUGAAUACAUUAGCAUGGAAUAAUAGAAUAGGACGGUGGUCCUGUUUUGUUGGUUUCUGAAUCACCGUAAUGAUUAAUAGGGAUAGUUGGGGGCAUUAGUAUUCAAUUGUCAGAGGUGAAAUUUCUUGGAUUUAUUGAAGACUAACUUCUGACGAAAGCAUUUGCCAAGGAUGUUUUCAUUAAUCAAGAACGAAAGUUAGGGGAUCGAAGACGAUCAGAUACCGUCGUAGUCUUAACCAUAAACUAUGCCGACUAGGGAUCGGACGAUGUUAAAGUUUAUUGACUUCGUUACGGCGUCCU
rnacentral:rRNA from 1 species